rnacentral:lncRNA from 1 species
GGCCGCUGUGUAGUUACAGCGGAGGUAAAUCCUGAGAAUCGUGCUUCGGCGUGUCAGGAAUUUGAAUUUAGAGUUUAAUUUCCUAUAACAUUCUCUACAAGAAGAAUCUUGGCAGUAUCUUAAAGACAUCACUGACUUCUGGAUCCUGUAUAAAGCCCAAGGAGAAAAGAAAUGGGCCGCUCCAAUUCUAGAUCACAUUCUUCAAGAUCCAAGUCUAGAUCACAGUCUAGUUCUAGAUCAAGAUCAAGAUCACAUUCUAGAAAGAAGAGAUACAGGUCUCGUUCCAGAACAUAUUCAAGGUCUCGUAGUAGAGAUCGUAUUUAUUCUAGAGAUUAUCGUCGGGAUUACAGGAAUAAUAGAGGAAUGAGACGACCUUAUGGGUACAGAGGAAGGGGUAGAGGGUAUUAUCAAGGAGGAGGAGGUAGAUAUCACCGAGGUGGCUAUAGACCUGUUUGGAAUAGAAGGCACUCUAGGAGUCCUAGGCGAGGUCGGUCACGGUCCAGGAGCCCGAAAAGAAGAUCUGUGUCUUCUCAAAGAUCCCGAAGCAGAUCUCGCCGGUCAUACAGAUCCUCUAGGUCUCCAAGAUCAUCAUCAUCUCGUUCUUCAUCCCCUUAUAGCAAAUCUCCUGUCUCUAAAAGACGAGGGUCUCAGGAAAAACAGACCAAAAAAGCUGAAGGGGAACCCCAAGAAGAGAGUCCUUUGAAAAGCAAAUCACAGGAGGAACCAAAGGAUACUUUUGAACAUGAUCCAUCUGAAUCUAUUGAUGAGUUUAAUAAAUCUGCUACAUCUGGUGAUAUUUGGCCUGGCCUUUCAGCUUAU